CACCUGGGGAGUACGGCCGCAAGGCUAAAACUCAAAGGAAUUGACGGGGGCCCGCACAAGCGGCGGAGCAUGCGGAUUAAUUCGAUGCAACGCGAAGAACCUUACCAAGGCUUGACAUAACCGGAAACUUCCAGAGAUGGUUGCCCCCUUUGGGUCGGUAUACAGGUGGUGCAUGGUUGUCGUCAGCUCGUGUCGUGAGAUGUUGGGUUAAGUCCCGCAACGAGCGCAACCCUCGUUCUAUGUUGCCAGCACGUAAUGUGGGGACUCAUGGAAGACUGCCGGGGUCAACUCGGAGGAAGGUGGGGAUGACGUCAAAUCAUCAUGCCCCUUAUGUCUUGGGCUUCACGCAUGCUACAAUGGCCGGUACAAAGGGCUGUGAUGCCGUAAGGUGGAGCGAAUCCCAAAAAACCGGUCUCAGUUCGGAUUGGGGUCUGCAACUCGACCCCAUGAAGUCGGAGUCGCUAGUAAUCGCAGAUCAGAACGCUGCGGUGAAUACGUUCCCGGGCCUUGAACACACCGCCCGUC
rnacentral:rRNA from 1 species